rnacentral:rRNA from 1 species
UAGCUAGUUGGUGAGGUAACGGCUUACCAAGGCGACGAUCUGUAGCGGGUCUGAGAGGAUGAUCCGCCACACUGGAACUGAGACACGGUCCAGACUCCUACGGGAGGCAGCAGUGGGGAAUUUUGGACAAUGGGGGCAACCCUGAUCCAGCCAUGCCGCGUGAGUGAAGAAGGCCUUCGGGUUGUAAAGCUCUUUCGGCCGGGAAGAAAUCGCAUGGGCCAAUACCCUGUGUGGAUGACGGUACCGGAAUAAGAAGCACCGGCUAACUACGUGCCAGCAGCCGCGGUAAUACGUAGGGUGCGAGCGUUAAUCGGAAUUACUGGGCGUAAAGCGUGCGCAGGCGGUUUUGUAAGACAGGCGUGAAAUCCCCGGGCUCAACCUGGGAACUGCGUUUGUGACUGCAAGGCUAGAGUACGGCAGAGGGGGGUGGAAUUCCACGUGUAGCAGUGAAAUGCGUAGAGAUGUGGAGGAACACCAAUGGCGAAGGCAGCCCCCUGGGUCGAUACUGACGCUCAUGCACGAAAGCGUGGGUAGCAAACAGGAUUAGAUACCCUGGUAGUCCACGCCCUAAACUAUGUCAACUAGGUGUUGGGUGGGUAAAACCAUUUAGUACCGUAGCUAACGCGUGAAGUUGACCGCCUGGGGAGUACGGCCGCAAGGUUAAAACUCAAAGGAAUUGACGGGGACCCGCACAAGCGGUGGAUGAUGUGGAUUAAUUCGAUGCAACGCGAAAAACCUUACCUACCCUUGACAUGCCAGGAACUUGCCAGAGAUGGCUUGGUGCCCGAAAGGGAGCCUGGACACAGGUGCUGCAUGGCUGUCGUCAGCUCGUGUCGUGAGAUGUUGGGUUAAGUCCCGCAACGAGCGCAACCCUUGUCGUUAAUUGCCAUCAUUUAGUUGGGCACUUUAGCGAGACUGCCGGUGACAAACCGGAGGAAGGUGGGGAUGACGUCAAGUCCUCAUGGCCCUUAUGGGUAGGGCUUCACACGUCAUACAAUGGUCGGUACAAAGGGUCGCCGAGCCGCGAGGUGGAGCCAAUCCCAGAAAGCCGAUCGUAGUCCGGAUUGCAGGCUGCAACUCGCCUGCAUGAAGUCGGAAUCGCUAGUAAUCGUGGAUCAGCAUGUCACGGUGAAUACGUUCCCGGGUCUUGUACACACCGCCCGUCACACCAUGGGAGCGGGUUCCGCCAGAAGUAGGUAGCCUAACCGCAAGGAGGGCGCUUACCACGGCGGGGUUCGUGACUGGGGUGAAGAAGUAACAAGGUAGCCGUAGGGGAACCUGCGGCUG